rnacentral:rRNA from 1 species
AGUGGGGAAUAUUGGACAAUGGGCGAGAGCCUGAUCCAGCAAUUCCGCGUGAAUGAUGAAGGCCUUCGGGUUGUAAAGUUCUUUCAGCAGGGAAGAAGCAAGUGACGGUACCUGCAGAAGAAGCCACGGCUAAUUACGUGCCAGCAGCCGCGGUAAGACGUAAGUGGCAAGCGUUAUCCGGAAUCACUGGGCGUAAAGGGCAUCUAGGCGGCCUAUAAAGUCAGAGGUGAAAAUUCAUGGCUCAACCAUGUCCUUGCCUUUGAAACUAAUAAGCUAGAGUACGAGAGAGGAGGGCGGAACUACAAGUGUAGCGGUGGAAUGCGUAGAUAUUUGUAGGAAUGCCGAUGACGAAGGUAGCUCUCUGGACCGAUACUGACGCUGAAGUGCGAAAGCUAGGGGAGCAAACAGGAUUAGAUACCCUGGUAGUCCUAGCUGUAAACGAUGGAUACUGGGUGUGGGGGGUCGAACCUCCGUGCCGAAGCUAACGCGAUAAGUAUCCCGCCUGGGGAGUACGUUCGCAAGAAUGAAACUCAAAGGAAUUGACGGGGACCCGCACAAGUGGUGGAGCAUGUGGUUUAAUUCGACGCAACGCGAGGAACCUUACCAGGUCUUGACAUCGUGAGAAUUCUGUAGAGAUAUGGGAGUGCCUCUUUGAGGAACUCAUAGACAGGUGGUGCAUGGCUGUCGUCAGCUCGUGCCGUGAGGUGUUGGGUUAAGUCCCGCAACGAGCGCAACCCCUAUUGUUAGUUACCAUCAUUAAGUUGGGGACUCUAGCAAGACAGCCUACGACGAGUAGGAGGAAGGUGGGGAUGACGUCAAGUCAUCAUGCCCCUUAUGACCUGGGCUACACACGUGCUACAAUGGGAUGUACAGAGGGCAGCAAGAGGGUGACCUGGAGCGAAACUCAGAAAGCAUUUCGUAGUUCGGAUUGCAGUCUGCAACUCGACUGCAUGAAGUUGGAAUCACUAGUAAUCGCGAAUCAGCAAUGUCGCGGUGAAUACGU